rnacentral:rRNA from 1 species
GUCUUUUUGAUUAUAAUCUAAAGUCUAACCUGCCCACUGAAAUUUUUGAAGGGCCGCGGUAUUUUGACUGUGCAAAGGUAGCAUAAUCAUUAGUCUUUUAAUUGGAGGCUUGUAUGAAUGGUUGGAUGAGGUAUUAACUGUCUCAAUUUAAUAAAUAAUAGAAUUUUAUUUUUGAGUUAAAAAGCUCAAAUUUUAUUAAAAGACGAGAAGACCCUAUAGAUCUUUAUAAUUAAAUUUAUAAUAAUUUUUUGGAUUAAAUUUAUUUUUAUAAAAAUAAUUAUUAUAUUGGGGUGAUAAAAAAAUUUAUAAAACUUUUUUUGUAAAUAAACAAUUAUAUUUGAUUAAUUGAUCCAUUUUUUGUGAUUAUAAGAUUAAGUUACCUUAGGGAUAACAGCGUAAUUUUUUUGGAGAGUUCUUAUCGAUAAAAAAGAUUGCGACCUCGAUGUUGAAUUAAAGGUUAAUUUUAGGUGUAGAAGUUUAAAAUUUUGGUCUGUUCGACCAUUAAAUC